rnacentral:rRNA from 1 species
GUGGGGAAUAUUGGACAAUGGGCGCAAGCCUGAUCCAGCCAUGCCGCGUGAGUGAUGAAGGCCUUAGGGUUGUAAAGCUCUUUUGUCCGGGAAGAUAAUGACUGUACCGGAAGAAUAAGCCCCGGCUAACUUCGUGCCAGCAGCCGCGGUAAUACGAAGGGGGCUAGCGUUGUUCGGAAUCACUGGGCGUAAAGCGCACGUAGGCGGACCAUUACGUCAGGGGUGAAAGCCAGGAGCUCAACUCCAGAACUGCAUUUGAUACUGAUGGUCUCGAGUAUGGAAGAGGUUGGUGGAACUGAGAGUGUAGAGGUGCAAUUCGUAGAUAUUCGCAAGAACACCGGUGGCGAAGGCGGCCAACUGGUCCAUUACUGACGCUGAGGUGCGAAAGCGUGGGGAGCAAACAGGAUUAGAAACCCGAGUAGUCC